rnacentral:misc_RNA from 1 species
GUCAACUCAGAAACAGAGCAUGCAUUCUCAACUUUAACAAGCUUACAAAAAUAGACCAUCCAAAUACAUUGUCACUCAAAGGCAUUUUUCACUUUUCAUUAUUCAAAAAACUUCUGAGUUAUUCGAACAAUCUAAUACUAAUAACAAUCGCAAAAUAAUAACAAAAAUAAAUAAGUACAAAACAACACCACAAAUAUUCAAUGAAUAGGAGCCACAAGCCAAAACUAUGCGUGCCCAUCAAUGUCUGCAUGCCCCUUGAUAAUUUGCAAGCUUGUCGAUGGUCAUAGCAUAGGAGCAGUUGCAAUAUCUGGAGGUAACAUCGUGAAUGGCAAGAUCUGGAGGUGAACAGCUCCACCUUCUUUUGGGCUUUUCGCCUUCAUCUUCCCACACGUGAUCGGCGCAAAAUCCAAAGGAGAACAACGUCAAUGAAAACUCAAUAGACAUUAAUGCCAGUCAGUUGUCUGGAUGCAUGAAUUCCUUUGAUUCUCUUUCGAGAAGCUCAGUAAAAGAAAUGAAGA